rnacentral:rRNA from 1 species
GAUGAACGCUGACAGAAUGCUUAACACAUGCAAGUCUACUUGAUCCUUCGGGUGAUGGUGGCGGACGGGUGAGUAACGCGUAAAGAACUUGCCUUGCAGUCUGGGACAACGUCUGGAAACGGACGCUAAUACCGGAUAUUAUGAUUGAAUCGCAUGAUUUGAUUAUGAAAGCUAUAUGCGCUGCGAGAGAGCUUUGCGUCCCAUUAGUUAGUUGGUGAGGUAACGGCUCACCAAGACGAUGAUGGGUAGCCGGCCUGAGAGGGUGAACGGCCACAAGGGGACUGAGACACGGCCCUUACUCCUACGGGAGGCAGCAGUGGGGAAUAUUGGACAAUGGACCAAAAGUCUGAUCCAGCAAUUCUGUGUGCACGAUGAAGUUUUUCGGAAUGUAAAGUGCUUUCAGUUGGGAAGAAGAAAGUGACGGUACCAACAGAAGAAGCGACGGCUAAAUACGUGCCAGCAGCCGCGGUAAUACGUAUGUCGCAAGCGUUAUCCGGAUUUAUUGGGCGUAAAGCGCGUCUAGGCGGUUUGGUAAGUCUGAUGUGAAAAUGCGGGGCUCAACUCCGUAUUGCGUUGGAAACUGCCAAACUAGAGUACUGGAGAGGUGGGCGGAACUACAAGUGUAGAGGUGAAAUUCGUAGAUAUUUGUAGGAAUGCCGAUGGGGAAGCCAGCCUACUGGACAGAUACUGACGCUAAAGCGCGAAAGCGUGGGUAGCAAACAGG